UACAGAGGUCCCGAGCGUUGUUCGGAUUCACUGGCGUAAAGGGUGCGCAGGUGGUUUGGCAAGUUUGAUGUGAAAGCCCCGGGCUUAACCCGGGAAUGGCAUUGAAUACUGCUUGAACUGGAGGGUUGGAGGGGGGACUGGAAUUCUUGGUGUAGCAGUGAAAUGCGUAGAUAUCAAGAGGAACACCAGUGGCGAAGGCGAGUCCCUGGACAAACCCUGACACUGAGGCACGAAAGCCAAGGGAGCAAACAGG
rnacentral:rRNA from 1 species